CUCGCUAGAGCCAAGAGGCUUCGUAUGAUGAAAAUUCUUGGAAGCUGACCUAUUCAGUGAUAUCAUCACUUUCUACUAUCCAACCACUGUCAUAUAUACACCUAGCUAGGUGACUAUAGCUUCAUUAUUUUGAUGCUAAUGCGCUGUU